rnacentral:rRNA from 1 species
UUGGAGGGCAAGUCUGGUGCAGCAGCCGCGGUAAUUCCAGCUCCAAUAGCGUAUAUUAAAGUUGUUGCAGUUAAAAAGCUCGUAGUUGAAUUUCGGGAUCAAAUAAUCGGUCGUGCCUCCGGUACGUACUGGUUUUAUUGGUUCCUCCCUUCUGACGAAGCAUGAUGUCAUUAAUUUGAUGUGGUGGAGAAUCAGGACUGUUACCUUGAAAAAAUUAGAGUGUUUAAAGCAGGCUAACGCUUGAAUACAUUAGCAUGGAAUAAUGAAAUAGGACGUUCGACCCUAUUUUGUUGGUUUCUAGGAUCGGCGUAAUGAUUAAUAGGGAUAGUUGGGGGCAUUAGUAUUCAAUUGUCAGAGGUGAAAUUCUUGGAUUUAUUGAAGACUAACUACUGCGAAAGCAUUUGCCAAGGAUGUUUUCAUUAAUCAAGAACGAAAGUUAGGGGAUCGAAGACGAUCAGAUACCGUCGUAGUCUUAACCAUAAACUAUGCCGACUAGGAAUCGGGCGUCGUUAUUUUAAUGACUCGCUCGGCGCCUUACGGGAAAC